UGGGGGAUAGCUCGCCGAAAGGCGAAUUAAUACCGCAUGUGAUCAGAGGAGACAUCUCUUCGACAUCAAAGUUGGCGCAAGCUAACGCUUCUUGAUGAGCCCGCGGCCUAUCAGCUAGUUGGCGAGGUAAUGGCUCACCAAGGCAUUGACGGGUAGCUGGUCUGAGAGGACGACCAGUCACACUGGAACUGAGACACGGUCCAG
rnacentral:rRNA from 1 species